CCUACGGGUGACAGCAGUGAGGAAUAUUGGUCAAUGGACGAGAGUCUGAAGCAGCAAAGUAGCGUGAAGGAUGACUGCCCUAGGGGUGGUAAACUUCUUUUAUAUGGGAAUAAAAUGUUCCACGUGUGGGAUUUUGUAUGUACCAUAUGAAUAAGGCUCGGCUAACUCCGUGCCAGCAGCCGCGGUAAUACGGAGGAUCCGAGCGUUAUCCGGAUUUAUUGGGUUUAAAGGGAGCGUAGGUGGAUUGUUAAGUCAGUUGUGAAAGUUUGCGGCUCAACCGUAAAAUUGCAGUUGAAACUGGCAGUCUUGAGUACAGUAGAGGUGGGCGGAAUUCGUGGUGUAGCGGUGAAAUGCUUAGAUAUCACGAAGAACUCCGAUUGCGAAGGCAGCUCACUGGACUGCAACUGACACUGAGGCUCGAAAGUGUGGGUAUCAAACAGGAUUAGAUACCCGAGUAGUC
rnacentral:rRNA from 1 species